AUUGAACGCCAGCCGGAUGCCCUACACAUGCAAGUCGAACGUUAAACCGGCUUUGGGCGGUGGAAAAUGGAGAACGGGUGAGUAAUUCGUCGGGACCUGCCGGGUAGUGGGGGGAAACGCAGCGAAAGGUUUUCUAAUACCGCAUGCGUACCGAGGGUGAAAGGGGGGGACCUUCGGGCCUCCAGCUCUUUGAGCGGCCGACGGUUGAUUAGCUAGUUGGUGAGGUAAAGGCUCACCAAGGCGACGAUCAGUAGCGGGUCUGGGAGGAUGAUCGGCCACACUGGGACUGAGACACGGCCCAGACUCUUACGGGAGGCAGCAGUGGGGAAUUUUGGACAAUGGGCGCAAGCCUGAUCCAGCCAUGCCGCGUGUCUGAAGAAGGCCUUCGGGUUGUAAAGGACUUUUGUCCGGGAGCAAAUGCUGGUGGCUAACAUCCACCGGAGCUGAGAGUACCGGAAGAAUAAGCACCGGCUAACUACGUGCCAGCAGCCGCCGCAGUAA
rnacentral:rRNA from 1 species